AUUGUGAUCCUACCAGCAAUGGCUGCACUGGCUUAAGCUCGGAUAUCAAGUCGUGUCAAGCACAAGGAAUUAAAGUAAUACUUUCUAUAGGAGGAGCUUCUGGUAGUUACUCUCUUGUAUCGGCUGCAGAUGCCAGAGAAGUUGCAACCUAUAUUUGGAACAACUUUUUAGGAGGAAAUUCUGCUACUCGCCCUCUUGGGAUUGCUGUUCUGGAUGGGGUGGAUUUUGACAUCGAGGGAGGAACAAGUGCACAUUGGGAUGAUCUUGCAAGGUAUCUUUCUGCUUAUAGCAAGCGCGGUAAGAAAAUUUACUUAACUGCAGCCCCUCAGUGCCCUUACCCUGAUGCAUGGGUUGGAGGUGCCCUUCAAACCGGACUUUUUGACUAUGUUUGGGUUCAAUUCUAUAACAACCCUCCUUGCCAAUACUCUUCUAGUGCUAUAAGUAACCUUGAGGAUGCAUGGAAGCAAUGGACUUCAGAUAUUCUGGCAAAAAAGAUCUUUUUAGGCCUACCUGCAGCUCCUGAUGCAGCUGGAAGUGGCUUCAUUCCUGCAAGUGAUCUCACCUCACAAGUGCUUCCAGCAAUUAAGGGAUCGUCCAAGUAUGGUGGUGUGAUGCUGUGGUCUAAAUACUACGACGAUCAAUCUGGAUAUAGUUCUUCCAUCAAGAGCGACGUGUGAAGUCUAAAAAUACUUAUAUUGCACUGUGUAUUACAUAGUAGUCAAAUGAUUGUCUAAGAACACUUGAGUAUCAUCUUCGUGUUAUUGUAUGUGCAUAUAUGAAGACUAUUUAUCUGAAUGUGAUCCAUGUUUUGUAUAUGAAGUACUUUAUCUUUUGUGAUUUACAAAUUAUUCUGCCUUGGCCAAAAUCCCUAUGAUAUCUGCAAAAUGCAAGUCUAAUAAGUGAAUGGCCACUUUCUUCUAGCUAUGGGAUGGUAUAAUUUUCCAUCACAUAAUAUAUACAUACAUCUCAUCCGUUCCACAAAAAUAGUCCUAUUUAUAAAUUCUGUAAAUAUAAAGGAUAAAUUAUUUAUUCCAUAUAUGCCCCUAAAAUAGAAAAUUGUUCGUUUUGUACUGUGGUAUGAUAAUGACAUUAUGAUGCCAAACAAAUGCAUGAGGACUGCAUGUCAUUUUAUAUUACUGUGGUAUGUCUGUUUGUGGGGGGGAAAAAUAUCGCAUUCAUUCACAUUAUUAGAACUAUACUGGAAAAGGGGAUCUUAGAUGGGAAUGUGAGACUUGGAACAGACUAAACAAAGAGAAGGGGCUAGGGUGUUUGUUGAAUCUUGAUAGGUACUAGGAAUCAAGACCAUUACUAAUCUCUGAUGAAAAUGGAGUUUAGGCACAUUAUGUUCUUGUCCAUUUUUCGAUUAGUCUUCUAAACAAGUUGAAAUUGUUUGAAAUGGUCUAUAAAAAAGCCUAGUUGACACCAUUUAAGUAGUACUACUUUUUUCCUUAACAGAAAUACAUAAUUAUCUUAGACGGCGUUUGGCAUUAAGAUAGAAUUACACAUGACAAUAGGCUGAGAUUUGUUUUUGUGUCAAGGAGUUGGUAAAAGGCCUUUAAAGACAAAAUUUAGAACAAUUUGUUGAAAUAAAUUCUAAAUAGAACAUACCCUCAAAGUACACAUGAAAAAAAUUUACUUAAAUUAAAUAAAAUAAAAUAAAGAAGGCAAAUAUCUUAGGCUUAAGAGAAGGAAAAUUUAAAUGGGAAACUAGAGCUAAUGUCAAAAAAUAAAAGUGGAUAUAGCUCUUCCAUCAAGAAGCAUGUUUAAGAAUAAGUUUUAUAUUCUAAUUGUCAUUCUAAGUGAAUCCAAGGCCAUUUGAAUAAAGGUUUCGGUUACUUCAUCAAGAGACAAAGCGAUUUAAAAGCUGAAAGCUUUAGUUGUCAGAAUAAGGAGUUCUAUAAAAAUCAUGUUCCUCUAACACUGAAUGAACUUAAUUAGCUUAUACCAUUAGUUAUCUUAGCAUGGCAUCUUUUCAGUCUGCUAUAUCUAUGUUCAUUCCUAAUCAUGUGGUAGAAAGGUAUGGAUACCUUAACAUAGUUCUUCAUCUGUUUCAGCAGAAUAUCGCCUCAUCUGCAGAACUAGGGGUUGAAAUAACAAAAAGGAUAAAUUUCAUAAUGUUUUUGAUGACCUUAAGGACAACAUUAACAAACUAUGAAUUCUAAUAGUCCAAGAUCAUAUAUUUUGACAUUUGAUAUGAAAUAAGACAAUGUACCAUUCUUAGCAAACUUAUUUAAGCUUAUGCUUGACCAAUCUUAUAUAAAAAUAGAUAAUAAAGACAAAAGGAUGUUGACAAAGCUUAGAGAUAAUCAGAUUUCAGAUAUGAAUAUAGCUAUAAAAAAUUCUAAAGAUUUGGCUAAUAUCAUCAACCCCGUGUACGCUAACUAAGACUUAGAACAAACUAUUUAAUUGAACUCUAAACUACGCAGUUAUUUGACGUGAGAACAAUAUUUUGUCACUAUCAAAUAGGACCCUAUCUGCUGUUAUAUAAAGCAAUUUUUCCAGCACUUAUCAGCACACAAACAGCAUAGCUUUCUGUAGUUCAGUAUUCAACAACUAACUAACUAUGGCAUCUCAUUUGUCGAUUUCACUAGCAUUUGUGUUCUCAGUGGUACUAUUACUAGUGGCAAAUUCUGAUGCUGGUGGAAUUUCCAUCUACUGGGGUCAGAAUGGGGGAGAGGGAACCUUGGCAGAGACUUGUGCCACAGGGAACUAUGAAUAUGUAAACUUAGCAUUUCUGACGACGUUUGGCAAUGGCCAAACACCCAUGUUGAACCUAGCUGGUCAUUGUGAUCCUACCAGCAAUGGCUGCACUGGCUUAAGCUCAGAUAUCAAGUCGUGUCAAGCACAAGGAAUUAAGGUAAUACUUUCUAUAGGAGGAGCUUCAGGUAGUUACUCUCUUGUAUCGGCUGCAGAUGCCAGAGAAGUUGCAACCUAUAUUUGGAACAACUUUUUAGGAGGAAAUUCGGCUACUCGCCCUCUUGGGAAUGCUGUUCUGGAUGGGGUGGAUUUUGACAUCGAGGGAGGAACAAGUGCACAUUGGGAUGAUCUUGCAAGGUAUCUUUCUGCUUAUAGCAAGCGCGGUAAGAAAGUUUACUUAACUGCAGCCCCUCAGUGCCCUUACCCUGAUGCGUGGGUUGGAGGUGCCCUUCAAACAGGACUUUUUGACUAUGUUUGGGUUCAAUUCUAUAACAACCCUCCUUGCCAAUACUCUUCUAGUGCUAUAGGUAACCUUGAGGAUGCAUGGAAGCAGUGGACUUCAGAUAUUCCGGCAAAAAAGAUCUUCCUAGGCCUAC
rnacentral:lncRNA from 1 species